CUUAAAGAAAUGUGCCUUUGGGAAUUUAGACACAGUUGGUGCAUGGCUGUCGUCAGCUCGUGUCGUGAGAUGUAUGGUUAAGUCCUUCAACGAGCGCAACCCUCGUUUUUAGUUAUUUUCUAGAAAGACUGCCGACUAUAAGUUGGAGGAAGGUGGGGACGACGUCAAGUCAUCAUGCCAUUUAUACCCUGGGCUACACACGUGCUACAGUGGCUUAGACAAUGAGUGCAAGUUCGCAAGGACAAGCUAAAUCUCUUAAACUAUGCCUUAGUUCGAAUGGUAGUCUGAAACUCGACUAUCUGAAGCCGGAAUUGAUAGUAAUCGCUAGUCAGCUAUAUAGCGGUGAAUACGUUCUCAGGUCUU
rnacentral:rRNA from 1 species